UGCAAGUCGAGCGGACAGAAGGGAGCUUGCUCCCGGAUGUUAGCGGCGGACGGGUGAGUAACACGUGGGUAACCUGCCUGUAAGACUGGGAUAACUCCGGGAAACCGGAGCUAAUACCGGAUAGUUCCUUGAACCGCAUGGUUCAAGGAUGAAAGACGGUUUCGGCUGUCACUUACAGAUGGACCCGCGGCGCAUUAGCUAGUUGGUGAGGUAACGGCUCACCAAGGCGACGAUGCGUAGCCGACCUGAGAGGGUGAUCGGCCACACUGGGACUGAGACACGGCCCAGACUCCUACGGGAGGCAGCAGUAGGGAAUCUUCCGCAAUGGACGAAAGUCUGACGGAGCAACGCCGCGUGAGUGAUGAAGGUUUUCGGAUCGUAAAGCUCUGUUGUUAGGGAAGAACAAGUGCAAGAGUAACUGCUUGCACCUUGACGGUACCUAACCAGAAAGCCACGGCUAACUACGUGCCAGCAGCCGCGGUAAUACGUAGGUGGCAAGCGUUGUCCGGAAUUAUUGGGCGUAAAGGGCUCGCAGGCGGUUUCUUAAGUCUGAUGUGAAAGCCCCCGGCUCAACCGGGGAGGGUCAUUGGAAACUGGGAAACUUGAGUGCAGAAGAGGAGAGUGGAAUUCCACGUGUAGCGGUGAAAUGCGUAGAGAUGUGGAGGAACACCAGUGGCGAAGGCGACUCUCUGGUCUGUAACUGACGCUGAGGAGCGAAAGCGUGGGGAGCGAACAGGAUUAGAUACCCUGGUAGUCCACGCCGUAAACGAUGAGUGCUAAGUGUUAGGGGGUUUCCGCCCCUUAGUGCUGCAGCUAACGCAUUAAGCACUCCGCCUGGGGAGUACGGUCGCAAGACUGAAACUCAAAGGAAUUGACGG
rnacentral:rRNA from 1 species